rnacentral:lncRNA from 1 species
AAAAGUGAAAAGGCAGGAAAAAAACUGGUUCUAGGAGACUUCAGCAGAUGGAUUCUUCCAGAUGAGCUUCCUGAGAUGAUAAAUGAAAAAGGAGAUUCCUGCCAUCUGCUUGGAGGUGAUGAAGAGAGAGAGAGGGAAGAGGAUCUCCAGUAAAUUCUCAUUGCAACCCAGGAUUGAUGUCCAAACAUCUAAUUUAGUUGAAUCACAGAAUCCAUGAAUGGGAGUAAAGUGAAUCCAACUGAAAGUGUAAGGUGGCGCUAGACUGUGGAGCAUCUUAAAUUGCUUCUUCAUUUUCUCUUCUUUUCCCUCCCUGUUGGAGAACCUCCUCGCGCAUUCCCUGGUUUUCCUGACAGAAAACUGGACCCACUUCCCUGUAAGACCCCUCCUCAGUUUCCAGUCCUUUCCCCACCCUGCCUCAAACCCUACAUA